AGUUCGGAUUGGAGUCUGCAACUCGACUCCAUGAAGCUGGAUUCGCUAGUAAUCGCGCAUCAGCCAUGGCGCGGUGAAUACGUUCCCGGGCCUUGUACACACCGCCCGUCAAGCCAUGGGAGUCGGGGAGUGCCUGAAGUUCGUGACCGUCACAGGAGCGACCUAAGGCAAGACCGAUGACUGGGGCUAAGUCGUAACAAGGUAAC
rnacentral:rRNA from 1 species